UGAUGGUGUAAAAUGUAGAAUAGCAUCUCACAAAUGAGUCAGCCAUGCUCCUUCGGGCUGGAGGAAUGCUGACAGCAGUUCAGCUGUAUUAGAAAGACAGUAGCUAGAGGCUACUUCACUUCAUGAAGCCUUGAUCGCCUCCUGGAAAUAUUGGGGAAGAACUUGAGACAUAACAAGAAAUGGGGCAAAGAAGACCCCGGACUAACUUUGAGGGACUGACCCAAGGGUGAG